rnacentral:lncRNA from 1 species
AGAAAUGCGGUAUAAAGGAGAAUAUGCCGCGGUUAAGUGUAGAACCGCGACAGAUUCUCUUCUGAAGGUUAAAAAAAACUUUGUACAGUUUUCCUCCUCACGCAAUCAGUUUCAGAAAACGAAACCUCAACGUCUCUGUCGUGCCGCCUCUCUGUUGCGAGCUUUCCUCCAUUGACACCGGCCAUCCUCUCAUGCGAGCAUUCCUCCAUUACGCGAGCCAUCCUCUCUGAUGCGAGUCAUCCUCUCCGCGCACCCGUGCUUCUCCGCCGCACCUCUGCCGCAACCCUUCUUCUCCGCCGCGACAACCAGGUUUGAUAUCAAUAUUUGUUUUAUGCGAUUGAUUUUUCCGUUCUGCUUAACCUGAUUGAUUGGUGGAUGAAAUGUUCCUACAAUUGAUUUCUGGUUUUAUGCGAUUCCAUUUCAAUAACAAUUCAUGGGUGUGAUGUUGUGCAUGUUGAGUUUGGUUGGGUUGC